rnacentral:rRNA from 1 species
UGAGGAACAUGACCUUCGGCGGGGGAUAGCCGGCCCAACGGCCGGGUAAUACCGCGUACGACCUUUCGGGGACAUCCCUGGAUGGUGAAAGCAGCAAUGCGCCGAUGGAGUGCCUCGCGGCCUAUCAGCUAGUUGGUGAGGUAACGGCUCACCAAGGCAACGAUGCGUAGCCGACCUGAGAGGGUGAUCGGCCACAUUGGAACUGAGACACGGUCCAGACUCCUACAGGAGG